CGGACCCUGCUGCAUCACGGGGCGCUAUCGGCGAGUCGGGUUGUUUGGGAAUGCAGCCCCAAGCGGGCGGUAAAUUCCGUCCAAGGCUAAAUACGCGCGAGAGACCGAUAGCGAACAAGUACCGCGAGGGAAAGAUGAAAAGGACUUUGAAAAGAGAGUUAAAAAGUGCUUGAAAUUGUCGAGAGGGAAGCGGAUGGAGGCCAACGUUGCUUCCCGGCCGGACGUGGAGCGGAGCGUGUACGCUUCGGUCCGCCGCUCGGUCCGGGAGGCGAGUCCUCGUGGAUCGGCGCCGUGGCACAAGCGUGCGCAGCUGGCUGCGCGCGUGCUGCCGCUGCGACGGUCGAGGGUCCAAGCGCGCGCCCCCCUGGAGGGGCGGGUCCUGCGGCGCCUGCGCGCUCGGACGCGGACUGCGUGGGCUUUCCAU
rnacentral:rRNA from 1 species